UACAGAGACUGCAAGCGUUAUUCGGAUUCACUGGGCGUAAAGGGUGCGCAGGCGGCCAAGUGUGUCAGGUGUGAAAUCCCGGGGCUUAACUCCGGGACUGCGCCUGAAACUACUUGGCUAGAGCAUUGGAGAGGGAAGUGGAAUUCACGGUGUAGCAGUGAAAUGCGUAGAUAUCGUGAGGAACACCAGAGGCGAAGGCGACUUCCUGGACAAUUGCUGACGCUCAGGCACGAAAGCGUGGGGAGCCAAAGGG
rnacentral:rRNA from 1 species